GUGCGAAAAUGAAGCAAAGUCGGCUUGCUCAGCCAUGACGCUGGCUCAGGAAAUGUUUGUGCAAGUCAGUGACUGAGGUUGUUUUAUCACUGAGGCUAUCAGAUUGUUUCCUCAUGGAGGGCAUUUUGCAGGUGGUGGAAGGGAGAAACGAGAAGCAUAAAGGUGGAAACUGCUGAAGCACACGCUCUGUUUCAUGAUGAGGAGAGACAGCCAACACUCGGCUCACUGACCUCUGUGGUUGAACCUGUUCCAACUUGGAGAUGUAAGAGCCCCUCUUCAAGUGUAAAGAAACCCCAUUUGCCCCCGUGACUGAAAUUUUAAGUACCUCUCAGGUCUGGUUUCAAGUCUGGCAAUAAAACAAAAAUCUUUCUCACCAUUUCA